rnacentral:rRNA from 1 species
AGAGUUUGAUCAUGGCUCAGAUUGAACGCUGGCGGCAGGCUUAACACAUGCAAGUCGAGCGGGGUGAUGGUGCUUGCACUAUCACUUAGCGGCGGACGGGUGAGUAAUGCUUAGGAAUCUGCCUAUUAGUGGGGGACAACAUUUCGAAAGGAAUGCUAAUACCGCAUACGUCCUACGGGAGAAAGCAGGGGAUCUUCGGACCUUGCGCUAAUAGAUGAGCCUAAGUCGGAUUAGCUAGUUGGUGGGGUAAAGGCCUACCAAGGCGACGAUCUGUAGCGGGUCUGAGAGGAUGAUCCGCCACACUGGGACUGAGACACGGCCCAGACUCCUACGGGAGGCAGCAGUGGGGAAUAUUGGACAAUGGGCGGAAGCCUGAUCCAGCCAUGCCGCGUGUGUGAAGAAGGCCUUAUGGUUGUAAAGCACUUUAAGCGAGGAGGAGGCUACUUUAGUUAAUACCUAGAGAUAGUGGACGUUACUCGCAGAAUAAGCACCGGCUAACUCUGUGCCAGCAGCCGCGGUAAUACAGAGGGUGCAAGCGUUAAUCGGAUUUACUGGGCGUAAAGCGCGCGUAGGCGGCUAAUUAAGUCAAAUGUGAAAUCCCCGAGCUUAACUUGGGAAUUGCAUUCGAUACUGGUUAGCUAGAGUGUGGGAGAGGAUGGUAGAAUUCCAGGUGUAGCGGUGAAAUGCGUAGAGAUCUGGAGGAAUACCGAUGGCGAAGGCAGCCAUCUGGCCUAACACUGACGCUGAGGUGCGAAAGCAUGGGGAGCAAACAGGAUUAGAUACCCUGGUAGUCCAUGCCGUAAACGAUGUCUACUAGCCGUUGGGGCCUUUGAGGCUUUAGUGGCGCAGCUAACGCGAUAAGUAGACCGCCUGGGGAGUACGGUCGCAAGACUAAAACUCAAAUGAAUUGACGGGGGCCCGCACAAGCGGUGGAGCAUGUGGUUUAAUUCGAUGCAACGCGAAGAACCUUACCUGGCCUUGACAUAGUAAGAACUUUCCAGAGAUGGAUUGGUGCCUUCGGGAACUUACAUACAGGUGCUGCAUGGCUGUCGUCAGAUCGUGUCGUGAGAUGUUGGGUUAAGUCCCGCAACGAGCGCAACCCUUUUCCUUAUUUGCCAGCGAGUAAUGUCGGGAACUUUAAGGAUACUGCCAGUGACAAACUGGAGGAAGGCGGGGACGACGUCAAGUCAUCAUGGCCCUUACGGCCAGGGCUACACACGUGCUACAAUGGUCGGUACAAAGGGUUGCUACCUAGCGAUAGGAUGCUAAUCUCAAAAAGCCGAUCGUAGUCCGGAUUGGAGUCUGCAACUCGACUCCAUGAAGUCGGAAUCGCUAGUAAUCGCGGAUCAGAAUGCCGCGGUGAAUACGUUCCCGGGCCUUGUACACACCGCCCGUCACACCAUGGGAGUUUGUUGCACCAGAAGUAGCUAGCCUAACUGCAAAGAGGGCGGUUACCACGGUGUGGCCGAUGACUGGGGUGAAGUCGUAACAAGGUAGCCGUAGGGGAACCUGCGGCUGGAUCACCU